GGCAACUUGCCAGAGUGGUCUAAUGGGUGAGACUUGAACCCAUAUCGGCGCAAUCUCAUGGGCUCCGCCCGCACAGGUUCGAACCCUGUAGUUGUCG